rnacentral:tRNA from 1 species
GUCCCUGUCGAUUAGUGGUUAAAUCAUCUCGUUGUGGUUCAGUACUCCGAGAAGCCGGAAGUUCGAAUCCUCCUUGGGACA